GGUAUAUGUGAUAAAAACUGAGCAGUGCACUGACACGACUUGUAUAAAUAGUGCAUGCAAAUCAUUCAGUGAACGCUGCUUACAAACUGACACAUUUGUGGAGCAAUUGUGGAGAAAUGAUAACGAAUUGAAAGUGUUAAGAAUUCAGCUAUUAUGUUAUAAAAUUUGCAACUUGAUUUGAUUAUCCACAGUGCUCCAUUGUCAUGAAUAACAUUUAGCAGAGUUGACUUUAUUUUCAAAUUCACAGAACCUCCAGCUGCUAACAGUCCUUGGCCCUUUGUCCGGUAAAACUUGACAGGCGCACAUGCACUAACACCUGGUUGCUGGAAAAUAUACCAUCUUUCCACAGGAUGGUUUCCGAUAGCUUUAGAAUUCCUGAAUGGGCAGGGAGAGAAUGAUUAAAAGAGAAUACCGUUAUACUGGGAGUGGAAGAAAAUAAGUAAUUAAAUUGUAAGCAUCCUGAUAAAUAAAAUGUAUUUAUCAUGUCUGUCCUCCUU